AUAUUAAAGGCAACGCUGCCCAGUGAAUAAUUAAACGGCCGCGGUAUCCUAACCGUGCAAAGGUAGCAUAAUCAUUUGUCUAUUAAUUGUAGACUCGCAUGAAAGGCCUCAUGAUAGCCCAUCUGUCUCUUAUAACAAAUCAAUUAAACUGAUCUCCCAGUACAAAAGCUGGAAUCCCCUAUAAGACCAGAAGACCCUGUGAAGCUUUAACUAAACUAUUAAACUUAAUAACUAAUUUCGGUUGGGGCGACCUUGGAACAAAAAAGAACUUCCAAAUACGUGACAUAGUCUCACAACGGCUGACAAGCCCAUAGACCCAGUAUACAGAUUUAUGAACUAAGUUACUCCAGGGAUAACAGCUCUAUCAACUUUAAGAGCCCAUAUCAAAAAGAGGGUUUACGACCUCGAUGUUGGAUCAGGACAUCCUAGUAAUGCAACCGUUUCUAAGGGUUCGUUUGUUCAACGAUUAAUAGUCCUACUUGAUCUGAG
rnacentral:rRNA from 1 species